GAAGGUAUAGCUCAGUGGUAGAGCGCACGCUUAGCAUGCAUGGGUCCUGCGUUCUAUCUCCAAUACCUCCA
rnacentral:tRNA from 1 species